rnacentral:rRNA from 1 species
UACGUAGGGGGCAAGCGUUGUCCGGAUUUAUUGGGCGUAAAGAGCGUGUAGGCGGCCAGGUAGGUCCGUUGUGAAAACUGGAGGCUUAACCUCCAGCUGUCGAUGGAAACCAUCUGGCUAGAGUCCGGAAGAGGAGAGUGGAAUUCCUGGUGUAGCGGUGAAAUGCGCAGAUAUCAGGAAGAACACCCGUGGCGAAGGCGGCUCUCUGGGACGGUACUGACGCUGAGACGCGAAAGCGUGGGGAGCGAAGCAGG